UACGUAGGGGGCAAGCGUUGUCCGGAAUUAUUGGGCGUAAAGCGCGCGCAGGCGGUCAUUUAAGUCUGGUGUUUAAUCCCGGGGCUCAACCCCGGAUCGCACUGGAAACUGGGUGACUUGAGUGCAGAAGAGGAGAGUGGAAUUCCACGUGUAGCGGUGAAAUGCGUAGAUAUGUGGAGGAACACCAGUGGCGAAGGCGACUCUCUGGGCUGUAACUGACGCUGAGGCGCGAAAGCGUGGGGAGCAAACAGGAUUAGAUACCCCGGUAGUCC
rnacentral:rRNA from 1 species